rnacentral:snRNA from 13 species
UAUUCUAAUGAAUACCUCUCAGGGCCUUUUAUAAGACCCAGUGAACAAUUUUUGCAGACCCUCUUCCUUUGGUUGAGGGUG